rnacentral:rRNA from 1 species
UACGUAGGGACCAAGCGUUGUUCGGAUUUACUGGGCGUAAAGGGCGCGAGUAGGCGGCGUGUUAAGUCAGCUGUGAAAUCUCCGAGCUUAACUCGGAACGGUCAGCUGAUACUGAUGUGCUAGAGUGCAGAAGGGGCAAUCGGAAUUCUUGGUGUAGCGGUGAAAUGCGUAGAUAUCAAGAGGAACACCUGAGGUGAAGACGGGUUGCUGGGCUGACACUGACGCUGAGGCGCGAAAGCUAGGGUAGCAAACGGG